UUCCAGAGCUCUCGACCCGGAUCGACGACCCGACCGGAAUUUUUGUUUUGGGCGACGACACGACGGUGGACCACCCACGUUAGUUUCCUCUCUUCAUCGCCGAUGCGCCGCUGGCCUCAGAUAGUCCAUUGGAUGACGGAUGGCGACGGUACGACGUCUAGAAGCUGCUGCAACCUUGGUAGUUUUCCGGCUACAGAUUAAGCUGCAUGAGGUGAGGAAAUCCUUCUCCUCUUCAUUCUCUACAUCUGGGUAUAAUCAGUUUUCGAAUUCGAAUAGGUUCUGAUGAGAUUGUGUUUUUGGGUGUCGUCGGACCUCACUCCAAAUCCGGUUUUCGGCAACGUUUCCGGAGUUUUGAAUCGUCUCCCAUAGCGAUUCUAAUCCUGGAACUCAAAGGGGUGAUUGUAUUGGCUAGGCUGAGUUGACGAACCCAGAAUUGAUUAAGCUGGAGAUGGGCUUGCUGUGUUCGUCCUCCAGGGAGCAGACCUGCAAUAUGGGUUCUGUUCUUCAUCUACUUUGAUCACAAGGGUAGGCCAUGUGUGGUUGCAGGUACUGUGCACUGGAAACGAGAUUGGAGCAGAUGGAGCUUGGUGUGCAGAUUUCAAUAGAAGUCAGGUUCUGGCCUUUAUUCCUCGGUUGUUUGCAACGUUAAGUCCUGGACGAGCAUUUGAAUUUAAAGUUUUAGAAAGGUUUUCACCUCAAAAUAAUUGAAAAGCUUUUGUUGCGAAUUUUUGUCAAAAUUUAUUACGAACAAAUGCUUAGCGACUUU
rnacentral:lncRNA from 1 species